UACGGAGGGUGCAAGCGUUAUCCGGAUUCACUGGGUUUAAAGGGUGCGUAGGCGGACAGGUAAGUCAGUGGUGAAAUCUCCGGGCUUAACCCGGAAACUGCCAUUGAUACUAUUUAUCUUGAAUACUUUGGAGGUAAGCGGAAUAUGUCAUGUAGCGGUGAAAUGCUUAGAUAUGACAUAGAACACCAAUUGCGAAGGCAGCUCACUACGGAUUUAUUGACACUGAGGCACGAAAGCGUGGGGAUCAAACAGG
rnacentral:rRNA from 1 species